UCCAGGGAGGCGGUGGGGGCUCUGCAUUCAUCUGCCAGAGGAGAGGCUGCUGCCGCUUGGCUCUCGGAACCGGGAGCAUUCUACAUGCUCCCCAGAGAAGAGGACGCGAGCGGAGCGAGGCCCCUGCUCCCAGAAGCUGUCUCCAAGACACCGCUCUCAGGCACUGAGCAAAGGGGCUUUCCACCGUGCCCACCAGAGCGCCCUGGCUGAUCAUCAACCCAGGAAAAGGGUGACAGGUAAAG